rnacentral:misc_RNA from 1 species
GAAACGCGAUAGUUAAUGUGAAUUGCAGAAUUCAGUGAAUCAUCGAGUCUUUGAACGCACAUUGCGCCCAUAGGUAUUCCUUUGGGCAUGUCUGUUUGAGCGUCAUUACAACCCUCAGCUAACCGCUGGUUUUGAACCUGAACGGGUGACACCGCGCCGGUUUUAAAGUUGUAAGCUCUGCUGGCCGCUCUGCCCAACCAGAACAUAGUAAGCACUACUUGUCCGGGUGAAGCUGAACGGUACGGCCUGAACAAAACCUACCCACUCUCAAGGUUUGACCUCAGAUCAGACAAAGAUACGCGCUGAACUUAAGC